GAUGAACGCUGGCGGCGUGCCUAAUACAUGCAAGUCGAGCGAACAGACGAUGAGCUUGCGCCUCGGACGUGAGCGGCGGACGGGUGAGUAACACGUGGAUAACCUACCUAUAAUACGGGUAUAACUUCGGGAAACGGGAGCUAAUACCGGAGAAGAUAUUGAACCGCGUGGGUCAAUAGUGAAAUACGGUGGUUCUGUCACUUAUAGAUGGAUCCGCGCCGCAUUAGCUGGUUGGUGAGGUAACGGCUUAGCAAGGGAACGAUGCGUAGCCGAAGUGAGAGGGUGAUCGGCCACACUGGAACUGAGACACGGUCAAGGCUCCUAAGGGAGGCAGCAGUAGGGAAUCUUCCGCAAAGGGCGAAAGCAUGACGGAGCAACGCCGCGUGAAUGAUGACGGUCUUCGGAUCGUAAAACUCUGUUAUUAGGGAAGAACCAAUGUGUACGUAACUAUGCACGUCUUGACGGUACCUGAUAAGAAAGCCACGGCUAACUACGUG
rnacentral:rRNA from 1 species